GGGUGUAUCUCAGUGGUAAAGUGCUUGCCUGGUGUGCAAAAGCCCUGAGUUCAAAUCCCAGCACCACA
rnacentral:tRNA from 1 species